rnacentral:ncRNA from 1 species
GACGGAUUCGAAAUUUCCAGAUUUUCAAGCAGGAUCAGAGCGUGCAUCAACACAUGUGGUAACGGCACUCGCCGGCGCAAAUAUCAUUUAUGAAUCU